AGUGAACGCUGGCGGUAGGCCUAACACAUGCAAGUCGAACGGCAGCACAGGAGAGCUUGCUCUCUGGGUGGCGAGUGGCGGACGGGUGAGGAAUACAUCGGAAUCUACUUUUUCGUGGGGGAUAACGUAGGGAAACUUACGCUAAUACCGCAUACGACCUACGGGUGAAAGCAGGGGAUCUUCGGACCUUGCGCGAUUGAAUGAGCCGAUGUCGGAUUAGCUAGUUGGAGGGGUAAAGGCCCAUCAAGGCGACGAUCCGUAGCUGGUCUGAGAGGAUCAUCAGCCACACUGGAACGGAGACACGGUCCAGGCUCCUACGGGAGGCAGCAGUGGGGAAUAUUGGACAAUGGGCGCAAGCCUGAUCCAGCCAUACCGCGUGGGUGAAGAAGGCCUGCGGGUUGUAAAGCCCUUUUGUUGGGAAAGAAAUCCAGCUGGUUAAUACCCGGUUGGGAUGACGGUACCCAAAGAAUAAGCACCGGCUAACUUCGUGCCAGCCGCCGCCGUAA
rnacentral:rRNA from 1 species